rnacentral:rRNA from 1 species
AAAGUUGUUGCGGCUAAAAAGCUCGUAGUUGGUUCUGCGUGCCACGCUGUCGGUUCACCGCCUGCCGGUGCAACUGGCAUGCCGUGGCAUGUCCUGUCGGUGGCGGAUAGGCUUCACGGCGUGCCCUAUGCGGUAUACCAGCGUGUAGGUCGCUGCGCCGCGUUGUCCUUGUACGCCGGCUCAAUCCUACCGCGGUGCUCUUUACCGAGUGUCGA